AAUCUUAACUGCGAAAUGAUAUUUUCCCCAAAAUUGUGUAGAAUAGCUCCUGACAUUGCCCUUCCAUAAUAUGGCUGUGUUACAUUGGAAGUAGUCCAAUCGGCUGAGUUCAUUUCCAGCCAAGGUCAACUGAUUCCAACUGAAUUCUUCCCCUCUGAAUUAACCGUUUGUUCUCUUCAGCAAAGAUACACUUGUGCCCUCAUUCUACAGUUCUGCCUGUUUGAUACUUGUUAUUAGCAGGUGUCCCAAGGCCUGCCGAGCUCCCCUCCUUCCCAUGCUUAUAAUGAGUAAACACUGGGUGUCCUUGGUGUCUUUGUCUGUAGUCCAGAGUAGCUUAGAUCAGCCCAAGACUCAGUUUCUCUCAAGUUUCUGUCUCUGUCUCUUUAUUUCCCUCUGUCCUAUCUCAUGGACAUCAUACUGGCUCUCAGGAGACUGAGACCCAUGGCCAGGGUUUCAAUAAUGCCUCUUAUACAUUGUUUGAGAAAUCAUUGCAGGAAUCUCUUGGAAGACCUGCAAGCACUGCAUGGGGACCAGGCUCUAAGGAAUGGUUAUGGAGAGAAGAGCAACUAAUCUCACUGGUAGGAGGGAAGGAAACCAAAGGGAGCCACAGUCACUGCAUACCAGGUUAAUACAUCCACUGCCCUUAAUCUCAAUCACCUAC